GAAAAAUGAGUGAGAGCUGAGCUGAUGUAUUGUUGCCUUCAGGUGUGGAUUUUAUCACAGGUGGUACUCGCUAGUUGUUAGUAAUGCCACGGCACCUGGAGCUCUGUGGUUAUAAAAGGGCUCCUUGCAGCAGGCUUCAGUGACCACUUAGCAUUUCAUUAAGUGGGCCGUCUAAAGAGUGCUCAGAGAAAACUUAAAUUCUGCCGUUUGGUUUGUAAUUGUGGCCCUAGGCUUGGUGGGAGACAGCAUCAGGAACUCAUCGCUAAGUUUCUCUUGCCUAAAAAGACAACUGUGAGCCUUGGUAACUUUGUUGAUGUCAAGGUGAGAGAGCAAGAAGAAGGAAAUAACAACAAAACUGGCAAGGAAAGCAAUGCGAGGCUGAGUGACCUUCAAAGGCAACUUUUCUCCUGUUAA
rnacentral:lncRNA from 1 species